rnacentral:rRNA from 1 species
UUAAGCUACAAAGGGCAUAUGGUGGAUGCCUAGGCGUUCCGAGCCGAUGAAGGACGCGAUAAGCUGCGAUAAGUCAUGGGGAGCCGCAAGUAGGCUUUGAUCCAUGGAUUUCCGAAUGGGGCAACCCGGUACGAGUCAUGUCGUACCAUCCGAAAGGAAGGCACACCCGGUGAACUGAAACAUCUAAGUAGCCGGAGGAAGAGUAAUCAAACGAGAUUCCCUCAGUAGCGGCGAGCGAACAGGGAAGAGCCCAAACCGGACGUCUUCGGACGACCGGGGUUGAGGACCAGCAUCAAGGGAAGGCAAGAUAGCCGAACAGUCUGGGAAGGCUGAGCACAGACGGUGAAACUCCGGUAGGCGAAAUCUUACCCAACGGGCUGGUAUCCAGAGUACCACGAGACACGUGAAACCUUGUGGGAAGCAGGGUGGACCACCAUCCAAGGCAAAAUACUACGGAACGACCGAUAGCGCAUAGUACCGUGAGGGAAAGGUGAAAAGAACCGCGGGAGCGGAGUGAAAUAGAACCUGAAACCGUAUGUCUACAAGCAGUCGAAGCACUUUAUAUGUGCGACGGCGUGCCUAUUGAAGAAUGAACCGGCGAGUUAAUUUCAGAGGCGAGGUUAAGCGGGAGACGCGGAGCCGAAGCGAGAGCGAGUCUGAAUAGGGCGUAAGUCUCUGGGAUUAGACCCGAAACCACAGUGAUCUAUGCAUGGCCAGGUUGAAGCUCAGGUAAAAAUGAGUGGAGGACCGAACCCGUGAGUGUUGAAAAACUUUGGGAUGAGCUGUGCAUAGGGGUGAAAUGCCAAUCGAACGUGGAGAUAGCUGGUUCUCCCCGAAAUAGCUUUAGGGCUAGCCUCAGGUAACACAUGGAGACGGUAGAGCACUGAUCGGGUAAGGGAGCGUAAAGCUUACCGAGCCUAGUCAAACUGCGAAUGGCUUCAUGAGAAGAGCCUGGGAGUCAGAAUGCGAGUGAUAAGACCCGUAUUCAAAAGGGAAACAGCCCAGAUCGCCGACUAAGGUCCCAAAUGCUGUACUAAGUGGAAAAGGAUGUAGGACUUCCAAAACAACCAGGAUGUUGGCUCAGAAGCAGCCACCAUUCAAAGAGUGCGUAAUAGCUCACUGGUCGAGAGGCCCUGCGCCGAAAAUAUCCGGGGCUCAAGUACAGAACCGAAGUCGCGGGAUGCGCAAGCAUCGGUAGGGGAGCGUUCCAAGCAGGUUGAAGGCAGACCGGAAGGACAGCUGGACAGCUUGGAAGUGAGAAUGCUGGUAUGAGUAGCGAAACGAUCCGUGAGAAUCGGAUCCACCGAAAGCCUAAGGGAUCCUGAGCAACGCUCGUCGUCUCAGGGUAAGUCGGGACCUAAGCCGAGGCAUAAAGCAUAGGCGAUGGACAACAGGCGAAAAUUCCUGUACUGCAUGAUGUUGUUUGAGGAUGGAGUGACACAGCAAGGAGCUUGAGCGCGCGAUUGGAAAUGCGCGUCGAAGGCGGUAGGCUGGUACAGAGGCAAAUCCCUGUACCAAGGCCGAGAACUGAUAGAUAGACAAUCCCUUCGGGGAGCGUCAAAUUCAAGCGUACUACACUGUCGAGAAAAGCUUCUAACGAGACAUCAUGUACCCGUACCAAAACCGACACAGGUAGGCGGGGAGAGAAUCCUAAGGUGCGCGGGAAAACCCUCGUUAAGGAACUCGGCAAAAUGCAUCCGUAACUUCGGGAGAAGGAUGGCCGGAGCUGGUGAAGACCUUCGCGGUUGGAGCUGGAGCCGGCGGCAGAAGAGAAGCCCAAGCGACUGUUUACCACAAACACAGGUGCCUGCUAAAGAGAAAUCUGACGUAUAGGUGCUGACACCUGCCCGGUGCUGGAAGGUUAAGAGGAGAGGUCAUUCGCAAGAAGAAGCUUUGAAUUGAAGCCCCAGUAAACGGCGGCCGUAACUAUAACGGUCCUAAGGUAGCGAAAUUCCUUGUCGGGUAAGUUC